rnacentral:rRNA from 1 species
GUGCACGCUGGCGGUAGGCCUAACACAUGCAAGUCGAACGGCAGCACAGUAAGAGCUUGCUCUUACGGGUGGCGAGUGGCGGACGGGUGAGGAAUACAUCGGAAUCUACUUUUUCGUGGGGGAUAACGUAGGGAAACUUACGCUAAUACCGCAUACGACCUACGGGUGAAAGCAGGGGAUCUUCGGACCUUGCGCGAUUGAAUGAGCCGAUGUCGGAUUAGCUAGUUGGCGGGGUAAAGGCCCACCAAGGCGACGAUCCGUAGCUGGUCUGAGAGGGUGAUCAGCCACACUGGAACUGAGACACGGUCCAGACUCCUACACGAGGCAGCAGUGGGGAAUAUUGGACACUCGGCGCAAGUCUGAUCCCACCAUACCGCGUGGGUGAAGAAGGCCUUCGGGUUGUAAAGCCCUUUUGUUGGGAAAGAAAAGCAGCAGGUUAAUACCCCGCUGUUCUGACGGUACCCAAAGAAUAAGCACCGGCUAACUUCGUG